rnacentral:lncRNA from 1 species
GUAAAAGGGACCAGCUAGCCUCCAAGCAGUAGCAGAGCUACAUUUUUUUACAUGGGGUGUCCACUGCUAUUUUAGGGGGUAAUCACACACACACACACAUACACACACACACAUACACACACACAUACACACACACACUGUACUCAAAUACAAAGAUACACACACACACACACACACACAUGAGAAUAAGGUGAAUAGACAAAAAUAAACAAAUUAUUUUAUAUUUUUCAGCUCAGCCUGUGAUCAUGGGAUUGCUACAAGACCAUCCAUCACCACCAUUAAGAAGAUCAGCGUUCAUGGUUAUCGAGGUUUUCUGGUGUGUGAAGAUUGUUUCCAUCUUAAUUCGGCUUAUUUUUUAAUUCCGACAUUAUCACAUUAUUUUCAUUAACUUGUUUUGAUUGUAUGACCUUUCUUCUGCGUGCCCCUGCAGAUGUUUGAAAGAAACUUGGCUGACGUGAAUGUGAGGGUCGAACUAUUCAGCAGAUUGGAAGGCAUUAAGGUAUUUUUCAACACUGGCCACAUGAUCAAAGUUGGUAACAAUUCCGGAAGAAGAUCUACAGACGGAUUUAUAUUUGAUGACAAUGAUAAAAUUAAUGCAGCAACAAUGUGGCAAGAAAAUAGAUAUUUUGAUGGAUUCACAUUUGAGGUCGCCAACAGUAAUGGUACAGUAAAAACAUAUUCUGCCAAGUGUACGGAUCUGUCUGAGCCUGUGAAGAUUGAUGUGAAGUCUGGAAAAUGUUACGGCAUUACAGCAAGAUGUGGAGAAAAAUGUACUCCAAGCGCUCGGAUUCUACUUCAUUUAGAUUCUCAGUAAUGAAAGUAAUAAUGCAGAGAUGAAAAUAUAGCAUAGUGUGAGAUUUGAAUCAAUAAAUAAUACUUGUACAUGUUUUCAAGCACACACAGAAUCAAAAAUUUGAGAUUUAUUGUAAUGUAACAAUGGUGGUUGUUAAAAAGGUGAAAAGCAAUUGAUAUUUGAUGUGUUUAAUGUGUUGUUUUUAAUUCAUUAAUUUAAUGGUUUCAUUUAAUCAAAUAAUCAUGUGUAUUUAUUAGUCAUUUAUAUAUGUUUAUUUGAUUAUUUUUGGAAUGUAAUUAUUUAGAUCAAUUAUUUUGGUUAUUUAAAGUCUACAUAAACUGGAAGUUGUUGAUGCUUUUCAGUGUGUUGAUGUACUUCAGACUAAAACAGAAUAUUGAGUAGGGGCAGGGCUUUCUUUUUGCAAAUAAUUUGAAUUUUACGGUAUCACCCUAUGAAAGGGGCUAGUCUCUUUAAGCAAACUAACAGUAAGAGUGGUGCGGUUAAGAAUAUUGUAGGGGGAAAAAAUCAGAGAAUUAACUUGUUCACAUAAAUAACAUAAUAAUGUGUGGUUGCAAAAUAAGCAUUGUUAAUUUUGAUUUCAGAUGACUUUGCACAAUGUACAAUGUAAUGUAAUGUCAAUGGACAAUGUUGCAAAGCAAUAAUUGUCCAUUGCUAUUGCUUAUGGUAUAAUAAAACUACUGAUCAAAGGGAAACAUAAAGGCUAACCAAGAUUUAAUAAACACUUUUUUAAUCAUC